rnacentral:tRNA from 2 species
GCCUCCAUGGUCCAAAGGAUCACGACGUCCGGUUUCUACCCGGAAGAUGCGGGUUCGAUUCCUGCUGGGGGCG